rnacentral:rRNA from 1 species
GACGAACGCUGGCGGCGUGCUUAACACAUGCAAGUCGAGCGGAAAGGCCCUUCGGGGUACUCGAGCGGCGAACGGGUGAGUAACACGUGAGUAACCUGCCCCAGACUUUGGGAUAACCCUCGGAAACGGGGGCUAAUACCGGAUACGACACAGCUUCGCAUGGGGUCUGUGUGGAAAGUUUUUCGGUUUGGGAUGGGCUCGCGGCCUAUCAGCUUGUUGGUGGGGUGAUGGCCUACCAAGGCGACGACGGGUAGCCGGCCUGAGAGGGCGACCGGCCACACUGGGACUGAGACACGGCCCAGACUCCUACGGGAGGCAGCAGUGGGGAAUAUUGCACAAGGGGCGGAAGCCUGAUGCAGCGACGCCGCGUGAGGGAUGACGGCCUUCGGGUUGUAAACCUCUUUCAGCAGGGACGAAGCGUAAGGGACGGUACCUGCAGAAGAAGCGCCGGCCAACUACGU